GCAAGUCGAACGAAACUUCUUUAUCACCGAGUGCUUGCACUCACCGAUCAAGAGUUGAGUGGCGAACGGGUGAGUAACACGUGGGCAACCUGCCCAAAAGAGGGGGAUAACACUUGGAAACAGGUGCUAAUACCGCAUAACCAUAGUUACCGCAUGGUAACUAUGUAAAAGGUGGCUAUACUACCGCUUUUGGAUGGGCCCGCGGCGCAUUAGCUAGUUGGUAGGGUAAAGGCUUACCAAGGCAAUGAUGCGUAGCCGAAUUGAGAGGUUGAUCGGCCACAUUGGGACUGAGACACGGCCCAAACUCCUACGGGAGGCAGCAGUAGGGAAUCUUCCACAAUGGGCGAAAGCCUGAUGGAGCAACGCCGCGUGGGUGAAGAAGGUCUUCGGAUCGUAAAACCCUGUUGUUAGAGAGGAAAGUGCGUGAGAGUAACUGUUCACGUUUCGACGGUAUCUAACCAGAAAGCCACGGCUAACUACGUGCCAGCAGCCGCGGUAAUACGUAGGUGGCAAGCGUUAUCCGGAUUUAUUGGGCGUAAAGGGAACGCAGGCGGUCUUUUAAGUCUGAUGUGAAAGCCUUCGGCUUAACCGGAGUAGUGCAUUGGAAACUGGGAGACUUGAGUGCAGAAGAGGAGAGUGGAACUCCAUGUGUAGCGGUGAAAUGCGUAGAUAUAUGGAAGAACACCAGUGGCGAAAGCGGCUCUCUGGUCUGUAACUGACGCUGAGGUUCGAAAGCGUGGGUAGCAAACAGGAUUAGAUACCCUGGUAGUCCACGCCGUAGACGAUGAAUGCUAAGUGUUGGAGGGUUUCCGCCCUUCAGUGCUGCAGCUAACGCAAUAAGCAUUCCG
rnacentral:rRNA from 1 species